rnacentral:rRNA from 1 species
UUUAUGGAGAGUUUGAUCCUGGCUCAGGAUGAACGCUGGCGGCGUGCCUAAUACAUGCAAGUCGAGCGAACAGACAAGGAGCUUGCUCCUUUGACGUUAGCGGCGGACGGGUGAGUAACACGUGGGUAACCUACCUAUAAGACUGGGAUAACUUCGGGAAACCGGAGCUAAUACCGGAUAAUAUUUCGAACCGCAUGGUUCGAUAGUGAAAGAUGGUUUUGCUAUCACUUAUAGAUGGACCCGCGCCGUAUUAGCUAGUUGGUAAGGUAACGGCUUACCAAGGCGACGAUACGUAGCCGACCUGAGAGGGUGAUCGGCCACACUGGAACUGAGACACGGUCCAGACUCCUACGGGAGGCAGCAGUAGGGAAUCUUCCGCAAUGGGCGAAAGCCUGACGG